rnacentral:rRNA from 1 species
GUGAGGAAUUUUCCGCAAUGGGCGAAAGCCUGACGGAGCAAUGCCGCGUGAAGGAUGAAGGCCUAUGGGUUGUAAACUUCUUUUCUCAGAAAAGAAUUAUGACGGUAUCUGAGGAAUAAGCAUCGGCUAACUCUGUGCCAGCAGCCGCGGUAAGACAGAGGAUGCAAGCGUUAUCCGGAAUGAUUGGGCGUAAAGCGUCUGUAGGUUGUUUAAAAAGUAUUCUGUCAAAGAUUAGGGCUUAACCCUAGAUAGGCAGAAUAAACUUUUAAGCUAGAGUUUGGUAGAGGCAGAAGGAAUUCCCGGUGGAGCGGUGAAAUGCGUAGAUAUCAGGAGGAACACCAAAGGCGAAGGCACUCUGCUGGGGCCAUACUAACACUGAGAGACGAAAGCGAGGGGAGCAAAUGGGAUUAGAAACCCGGGUAGUCC